ACUCAAAUGAAUUGACGGGGGCCCGCACAAGUGGUGGAGCAUGUGGUUUAAUUCGAUGAUACGCGAGGAACCUUACCGAGGCUAGAAUGCGCGUGACCGGUUCAGAGAUGGACCUUUCCUUCGGGACACAAAGCAAGGUGCUGCAUGGCCGUCGUCAGCUCGUGCCGUGAGGUGUUGGGUUAAGUCCCGCAACGAGCGCAACCCCUAUGUUUAGUUGCCAGCACAUUAUGGUGGGGACUCUAGACAGACUGCCUGUGCAAACAGCGAGGAAGGCGGGGACGACGUCAGGUCAUCAUGGCCCUUACGCCUCGGGCUACACACGUGCUACAAUGGACGGUACAGAGGGUCGCCACGCAGCGAUGCGGAGCCAAUCUCAAAAAGCCGUUCUCAGUUCGGAUCGGAGUCUGCAACUCGACUCCGUGAAGCUGGAAUCACUAGUAAUCGCGUAUCAGCAACGACGCGGUGAAUACGUUCCCGGGCCUUGUACACACCGCCCGU
rnacentral:rRNA from 1 species